rnacentral:rRNA from 1 species
AUGUUAAGGGCUAAUGCUUGGUGGAGUUCUUACCAGUACCUGAUUAUGGCGGCUAAAACGGGUGGAGCUGUACAAGUGCAUAAGAAUGACACUGUUAAACGCACAGCAAUGGCACGGACUGGCUUGGGCCGUGAAGGAAAGCCCAUUAGGUUGCUGUCAAACCACUUUGCUGUGAAGCUUAGUGGGAUUGAUUCGGUUUUCUACCAAUACAGUGUGUCCAUCAAAUCUGAUGACGAUCAGGUGGUUGAAGGCAAGGGCAUUGGCCGGAAGGUCAUCGAUAAAAUGUUGCAAACAUACAGUUCUGAGCUUGCUGGAAAGGAUUUUGCAUACGAUGGCGAGAAAUGUCUAUUUACUGUUGGACCUCUUCCACAGAACAACUUCGAGUUCACUGUUAUCAUGGAGGAAACAUCUGCAAGGGCUGUUGGUGGGAGUCCAGGACAUGAAAGCCCUGGCCCGGGUGACAAGAAACGAGUAAAGAGGUCACAUCUUCCAAAGCAGUUUGUAGUGGGUAUAAGCUACGCAGCAAGGAUUCCCCUCAAAUCAGUUGCCCUAGUGCUUCAAGGAAGCGACUCGGAUCAUGCCCAGGAUGCUCUGCGAGUCCUUGACAUUGUUUUAAGGCAACAGCAGGCUAAGCGAGGUUGCCUACUUGUUAGACAAUCAUUUUUUAGUGAUGACAGUAGAAAUUUAGUUGAUUUAACUGGUGGAGUCAGUGGUUGUCGUGGACUCCAUUCUAGCUUCCGUACUACAAUGAAUGGUUUAUCUUUAAACAUGGAUGUUUCGACUACUAUGAUUGUGACCCCUGGACCUGUUGUCAACUUCCUCCUUACAAAUCAAAAUGUCAGAGACGUUAGAGACAUUGACUGGCCCAAGGCAAAGAGAAUGUUGAAAAAUCUGAGAGUUAAAGCUACACACAACAACAUGGAAUUUAAGAUCAUUGGGCUUAGUGAUCAGCCUUGCUCUAGACAGACAUUUCCCAUGAAAGUUCGGAGUGGAAGCAGUGAAGGUCAAACUGUUGAUAUUACUGUUGAGGAAUAUUUUAAAUCCAAGCAGGUGUUUUUGGAGAAGCCUUAUCUGCCAUGUCUUGAUGUGGGAAAAUCGAAACGCCCAAAUUAUCUCCCAAUUGAGCUGGCGAACAUGAUAUCACUUCAACGUUAUACGAAGGCACUGUCUUCUCAGCAAAGAACGACGUUGGUUGAAAAAUCACGACAGAAACCUCAGGAUCGCAUGAGAGUUGUUACUGAUGCAGUAAAAAGUAACAGAUAUGAUGAUGACCCAAUCUUUUCUUCUUGUGGCAUUAAAAUUGAUAAUCAACUCACGCGUGUUGAGGGUCGUGUUCUGUCUGCACCAAUGUUGGUUGUGGGAAAUAGUCAAGAUUGUGUUCCAUUCAAGGGCAGGUGGAAUUAUAAUAACAAGAAACUAUUUGAGCCUGUCAGGAUUGAGCGUUGGGCAAUUGUGAACUUCUCUGCUCGUUGUGACAUGAGCCGGAUCUCAAGAGAUCUGAUAAACUGUGGACGAACCAAAGGCAUUAUCAUUGAAGGCCCUUACAGCCUGGUGGAUGAAGAUAACCAAGCUAGGAGAUGUGCUCCCAUUGUAAGAGUUGAAAGGAUGUUCGAAAAAGUUAAAGCAAACCUUCCUGGUCCUCCGGAAUUUCUGCUAUGUGUUUUACCAGAGAGGAAGAAUUGUGAUAUUUAUGGCCCAUGGAAGAAGAAAAAUCUUCAUGAGAUGGGUAUUGUCACUCAAUGCAUUGUUCCUAGUACUAAGAUGAAUGAUCAAUACUUCACCAAUGUUCUUCUAAAGAUCAAUGCUAAGCUUGGUGGAAUGAACUCUAAGCUGGCACUGGAGCAUAGCCGUAAGAUUCCAGUUAUCAAUAAGAUACCCACAAUAAUUUUGGGAAUGGAUGUUUCACAUGGUUCUCCAGGUCGAUCAGAUAUACCAUCAAUUGCUGCUGUUGUUGGAUCUAGAUGUUGGCCACUAAUAUCACGCUACAGGGCAUCUGUACGGACCCAGUCUCCAAAGGUUGAGAUGAUUGAUUCUCUUUUUAAGCCACUGGAUAAUGGAAAGGAUGAUGGUAUAAUAAGGGAACUUCUACUAGACUUCUACACAACCAGUCAACAAAGAAAGCCAGAGCAGAUAAUCAUCUUCAGGGAUGGUGUGAGUGAGUCUCAGUUUAGCCAAGUACUGAAUCUCGAGGUUGAUCAAAUAAUAAAGGCUUACCAGAAUAUGGGUCAGGGGCCACCUCCAAAGAUUACAGUUAUUAUUGCUCAAAAGAAUCACCACACGAAACUGUUCCAAGCUGACGCACCAGAUAAUGUUCCAGCUGGGACUGUAGUGGACAAGGGUAUUGUUCAUCCGAAACAGUAUGAUUUCUACAUGUGUGCUCAUGCGGGACCUAUAGGCACCUCAAGGCCCACCCAUUAUCAUGUCUUGCUUGAUCAGAUUGGUUUCUCACCAGAUGAACUCCAGAGCCUAGUUCUUUCCCUUUCCUAUGUGUACCAGAGGAGCACCACUGCAAUAUCUGUGGUGGCACCUAUCUGUUACGCCCACCUUGCAGCAGCGCAGAUGAGCCAGUUCAUAAAAUUCGAGGAGUUUGCUGAUACUUCAUCUGGGAGUGGUGUCCCUUCGUCGUCAACAGCAGCAACAGUCCCGGAACUGCCACGGCUGCAUGCUGAUGUGUGCAGUUCGAUGUUCUUCUGUUGA